rnacentral:lncRNA from 1 species
CUCUGGCUUAGGUGGAGUUGGUGUUGGCGGUGUUACGACCGGUGGGCUUGGUGUUGGUGGCGUAACAACAGGUGGCGGUGGGCACGGUGAUGGCGGUGGCGGUGGGCACGGUGAUGGCGGCGUUACGACGGGUGGAGGCGUAUGAGUGGGUGGUUUAGGGGUGGACGGAGGUGGUUUAACAGUGGGCGGUUUCGUGGGUGGUUUCGGGGUAGACGGAGGAGGUUUAACGGUGGGCGGUUUCGUGGGUGGUUUCGGGGUGGACGGAGGUGGUUUAACGGUGGGCGGUUUCGUGGGUGGUUUCGGGGUGGGAUGAGGUUUGGUAGGGGGUUUCGGAUGUGGGUGUGGUUUGACAGUGGGCGGUUUGGUAGGGGGUUUAGGGUGUGGGUGUGGUUUGACGGUGGGUGGUUUGGGAGGUUUUACUGCCGGUGGUUUAGGCGGUUUGCUAGGAUGUUUAGGCGGUUUGUGGGGGUGAGGUGAUGGUUUAGGAGGGCUACAGUCGCAAGCGAAGGAGACGGCAAGAAAGCCAAGGAAGAGGAAGAUAAGAAAAGAGAGGUUUU